GCAUCUAUGGUGUAAUUGGCAACAUAGUAGACUUCCAAUCUUCAGUUUCGAGUUCGAGUCUCGAUAGAUGCU
rnacentral:tRNA from 1 species